AGGGCCGCAGGGAAGGGUCUCUGUCCAUCCACACACAGGGACGUUGGCUCAAUAUGUAAUAACCAUGAGCCAGAGUUGGUUCUAGGGAGAAAGAAAUCAAAGGUGCUGGCAGAGCGGGCAGGCAUUUUCCUGAGGGUGAGGUGCACACAGGUACACACAACAAUGAAGUGUUCGUGGGCGAGGCCCAGGCCAACUCUACCAGCAAAGAGCCGAUGGCCAGACUAUGAGCCGGAUCCUCUCAACUGUGGACUUGGCCCACGUUCUUGCCCUGGGAGAAAUUGCUCCCAAGAGCUGAGGGAGUGGAAAGAGAAGGACUCCUUAGACCCGCGGCCUCAGUUAUCUUCAUCUGUGAAAUGUGAAUAAUGGCGACACCUACUGGAAAUACUGCCGUGAGGCGUUCUUGUAAGGGCAAAUGCCUGGAGUGUGGCAGGCACUCGGUAGUCAUCAAAUCCAGCCCCUGGCAACAGUAGAAAACUGUGCUCCCACUCCAAUGACUUCUGCAGCUGCCAUUCUCCUGUUUCCUUUGCCUGGGAUGUCCUCUAGCCAGCCUCCUCUAUCUGGUGAACUCCCAGACCUUCUCCAAGACCCAGCUCCAAUGGCCCCCCCUCUGAGAGGCCAGCCUGGACCCUUCCAGGAACAUGGAAGUGCAGGAUGACACCAUGUGACGCUGUAUACUAAUAGAGAAUCAUAAAAUUGUCUGCCAGCCUAACAGCCACGCUGUGGAAUCGGGCAGCCUCGCAUGUGCAUCCCGGUCCCACCACUUACUGCCUAGGUGACCUUGAACAAGUUACUUCAUCACUCUGAAUGUUUCCUCGUCUGCAAAACGGACCCACUAAGAGCUCCUCCUUCGCGGAGUCACGGUCACUAAGCGAGAUGACGUGUGUCAAGACCUCAGCAUGGGGCCCGGCGCGGAGUGAUUCCCCAAGGUGUUAGCCGUUUUGGUUAUAAGUAAGGUUUUUAAUUGUCCAGUGCGGAUAGAGAACAGGGUGGGGUGUAAUAAAGAACGGGAUAAACGCGUUCCUAAUCAUGACCUUCCUAAAGGCAGAUCCCAGUUUUCUUCUUCUUAGAGCUCCCUGCAAUAUGAUAUUUAUUAACAUGAUAGUGCAUCGUGGGCAAGAUGACCCACAGGGCUACCUCGUUUUCAGGCUACUUGCAAGGGGUAGGCUAUCAGUUGGCUCUAGCCAGAGUCAACUUGUUUCAAUUUCUCCCUCCUCCACCCGCGGCAGACAUCACUAAUCAAUCACAUCUCCCUCCCACACCCACGGGCAACAUCACUAAUCAAUGACUUCUCCCUCCUAAACCCACGGAAGACAUCCCUCCUAUGACACGGCAGACAUGACUAAUCCAUCAUAGCCCUCUUUCACACAGAGCAAGUCUAUAAUCUCAGAUUUCUCAGUAUAGAGCUCCGGGCAGUUACAACAAUUAAGCAGAGUGGGAAAAUGGCAUACAAUCUAGUUAACCUUUUCGGGUCUUGACACAUGGAUGGUUAAAGAUGUAGAGAGGAAGGGGGCGGACACCUUAGCCAGAGGGAGUGAGGUAAGCUGAAAUGUGAGUGAGAAGGCGGCUCUUCCGGGAAAAGGAAGUAAGUCAGAGAGAGGCUGCUUUAUGGGGCCCCUUGGCUCUGGGCUGGCUUGUAGCAGUGGGCAAAGGGAAUCACUGAAGGUCGUUGGGCAGGUGUUAUUUGGGGGGCAAGAUCUGUCUGGCUGCUAGUGCCAGAUGGUCCGUAAAGGGGCCUGAGCCCCGAGGAGGGGUGAGGAGGGCUGGAACUCAGGACAAGGUGCGGAGGGAGAUAAAGGCCAGGCAUGCUGGACGGGAAGCUGUGGUGAGCUUGGUGACUCCGGGCACAUCAGGAAUAGAAGGAAGUUGUGCCAUCAAAGCUGCUUUCCUGGCCCUGAGCUCUACAGGCUGGGAGAAUAAUGGCACCUCCAGCAGGAAGGGGGGCUGGGGCCCAGAGAAGAGGAUGUGCUUUGUUUCAGGCAUUGGAGGUGCCUUUGGGACAUCCAGCGGCGAUUUCCUGUGGGCGGCUGGAAAGGGGAGGUUGGAACCAGGGCUGGAGCUGCAGAUAUUAGAGAGGAAGAGAGGAAAAGGUUAAUGCUUUACAGGACCAGCCUCUCUUUUACUCAAAGCAGUUUGGGUAGGAAAAGAGAGUGUGCAUUCAGGAAAAAGAUGAACUGGGUGAAGGUCAUGGCUUAAUUAAGAGGCAUUCGCUGCAAUCCGGUUUUCCAAAAGAUACUGCGUAUCUGGGUCAAGUGUCCUUUUCACAAUAUCACCUAAAUUAGUAGGGAAAAAAUGUUUUUUGGUAAUAGGGAACAGUAAGUCUCAUGCUCAGGACCCCUAAUGUCCCUACUGCUAAGAAAGAAAGUGUAUAUUUAACUGAAAUACCCAAGCAAUCAGAAGAGAGGUCAGAGAGACAAUUCCUUUAUUAGGAAACUCCAUUUCCUAAUGCGUGAUAAAGUCACUUGAUCUCAAAGGUCACACAGACCUGGAUUUGGACCUCAGCUCCACACUUCCUAGCUGUGUGACCUUGGACAAGAUACUUAACCUCUCUGAACCUUGGUUCCCUCCUUCAUAAAAUGGAGCUAAUAGAGUACCUAGUUCACAAAGCUGUGGUAGUAAUCAAAUGAAAUGAUGUAUAUAAAGGUUUAGUCCAGGACUCGACAAGUAAUAAGCAUUGAAUGUUUGAGAGCUGUCCUUUUAUCUUACCGUCUUUUUUUUAGGAACAGAUUUUAAACAACCAGUGCAUCUUUUCAUGCCUGAUAGGAAUCCUGGGAAGUCCUCUGAGGGAGACAGAGAAACCCUACACUGAUAAUGCACCGGCCAAGCACAUUUCUUUUGUGUAGGUCCGUCACAUCACCCAGUAAGAGACAAAGUGGAAGAGGCUUCCGGAAUUCUCCAGGAGAUGAACAGCCUACUGGCCACCUUUCGUGGGCUUGUGGGCUUGAGGCCCAGGUUGGGGCUAGAGGCCUCCGCUGUCUGCAAUCCUGUGUCCUUCCCCCUUUCCACCAGUGUUUCCAUGACACAGGAGUCCCAAAGGUAAUCACAUGGACGUGUGGUAAAGCCCCCUUGACUCAUCAGUGAGGAUGCCCUACCAACCCAAAGGAGAUGACCUUGAGCCAAGGCCAGUGAGCAGAAACGGGGCCCCUACUUGACCCCCGGCCUGUCCUUGAGGGAGACUUUGGAGAGUUCCUACCACCGAUGGCCAGCAACGAAUUAACAAUCUAGAAGGUUCUGGAAGGUUCAGGUUCAUAGGUGGAAGUUUGGGCCAGAAAGACAAUUUGUUGUAGGAGGAUUAAACUCGGACCAUAAUAGCAGUACCUAACAUUUGCUGAGUAAUUACUGAGGGCCAGGAGCUGUUUUAAGUGUGCACCAACUCAUUCCCUCUUCACCAUGACCCGUGAGGGAAUUUUACACAGAUCACUGAGGCCCGGGUAUGUUAGCAAACGAACAGCCACACUAAGUGGCAGACGAAAGGUUUGAACCCGGGAAGUCUGACUUACAGAGCCCGUACUGUGACCACUGUGCUACCGCUGUGUCCCAGGGCUGGGGUCCACACCUGAGGGACGGGAAGGGGCCACAGCAUGAAGCCUGGCCUGAGGAAAGACUUUGCGGCAAAGGCUGUUUACCCAGGCCCGAGCCCACCUCGGUGGAAUGUUCUGCCUGGUGCCAGGCGCCCAGAUAAAGAGCCUUUUUGUCAGAUGUUCCCGGGGAUGAGUCACCCUCAGGAAGCUGCUGGAUUCUUCUAAGGGCCCCUGUUCUUUUAUCUCCUUGUUCCUUUCCUGGGGAUAAAUAGGACACUGCGAGAAUUUCUUUAAUUCCUAUAUUUACUCAUAGGUUCUUCUCAUCCCCAAACAGUGUUUAAUAAGAGAGGUAAAAAGUUCCCUGCUGUGCCAUCCUCCCCCUCCGGGCACCGGAGGUGCUGGAGACACGGCCCCGGGACCUAACUGAGCGGUUGUCCCGGUCGGAAGCGUCACCCAGGGGCCCGACCGCUGUCCCCACCUCGGCGUCCGCUCUAGCGACGCUGCUGAAAAGGGCGGGAGCGGAGCGACAGAAAGCAGGAGAUGCUCCCAUGAUCCCAGCUUCAGGGGAAGGAGCUAAGGGGUUCACUCCCGGCUGGGGGACGCCCGGCGAAACGUACUCUUAGGACAUCCUCCCGCGGCCACGGACACGAAGGCUUGGUGGGGGAUGCUAGGGCCUUAGGGCAAACCUCGGGCAGAAAUGGUAGAGGACAGACGUGUGCAAAUGUACCUCCGAUCACAGGGCCCUCGGAGAGUAAGUCCACAGCGGCUUCAUGCCGUCUUAUCCCUGGGUCCACACAGAGUCCCACUCAGACACAGGAAGGCCGUGGCACGGACGACUGCAGCCCGCUCAGUUCACGAUCCACUCAUUCGUUCGACACGGGUUCACCUCACGGAGCACUUCCUCCGUCCAGGAGUCUCGCUGAGAGCCCAACUGAACAGCCCUGGCCACAGGACGAGAGCGGACAGGGGGCACCUGGGCGCCUCCGCCUGGAGGGGCAGCAGAAUGUCCCAUGUGACAAAGCCGGCAGGGCCCUCCGCGUAGCACCUGGCGCACCACAGCCCACAACCAAUGGUAGCUAUUUGUGUAAUAGCGUUAGGCGCGUUUUUUACCACCCUCCGAUUCUCAGACAUUUGGAGUGACGUUAGCGUCCGAAGAUCUGGAUUAGAGUCACGGCUGUCACCUCCUCACCAUUCCUUAUGUUCAUCAGCGUCUCUCUCCUCGUGGUGCGGGAAGGAACAUCUGCUCUACUGUGUUGUGGGGAUCAAAUGAGACAACAGUGGGAAAGAGUUUUGUGAGUCAAGUCCAGUGUGGGUUGAGACGACCACGAACCGAGGGCACUCCGGGCUUCUGUCCCGUGUCUGUGGUGAACCCUCCGUGCCACCCAGAACCUCCUCCCCUCCUCUGAGGCCUUCCAGCCCCUCUUGGGAAUGAAGGGUUUCCACCUGAUUCCCCCAUGUCCAGUGAGACUGUAAGUCUCUUGAGGACCAGACCCGUGUUCAUAUACAACUAAGAGCAGCCAUUCACCACAUUUAGGACAUGCCAAGCAUUUUGCAGACCUCAUAUCAUGUUCUUCUCUCCAGAUCCCUGCAAGGAAGGGACUGCUGUUAUCCCCGUUGCCUAGAUGAGGAAACUGAGGCUUGAAGAGUUAAACACUUUGCCCCGGAUCCAACAGCCAAUGUCUGACUUUUUUUUUUUUUUUUUU